rnacentral:lncRNA from 10 species
UCAAUCACUCUAUUGCCUAGGCUGGAGUGCAAUGCCACGAUCUCAGCUCACUGCAACCUCUACCUCCUGGGUUCAAGUGAUUCUCCUGCCUUCCUGCCUCAGCCUCUGGAGUAGUUGGGAUUACAGGCGCACUCCAUUAUGCCAAGCUAAUUUUUGUAUUUUAUAAGUUGAGAUGGGGUUUCACCAUGUUGGCCAGGCUGGUCUCAAACUCCUGACCUCAAGUAAUCCGCCCACCUUGGCUUCCUAAAGUGCUGGGAUUACAGGCAUGAGCUGCUGCGCCUGACCUUUUUCUUUCUUUUUUUGAGACAGAGUCUCGCUCUGUUGUCCAGGCUGGAGUGCAGUGGCACAAUCUUGGCUCACUGUGACCUCCGCCUCUUGGGUUCAAGCAGUCUGCCUUGGCCUCCCGAGUAGCUGGGAUUAUGGACGCCCACCACCAUGCACAGCUAAUUUUUGUAUUUUUAGUAGAAAUGGGGUUUCACCAUCUUGGCCAGGCUGGUCUCAAACUCCUGAUCUCAAAUGCUCUGCCCGCCUCGGCCUCCCAAAGUGCUGGGAUUACAGAUGUGAGCCACCACACCCAGCCAAUUUCUCUUGUUUUGAUUUCUAGUUUUAUUCCAUUGUGAUCACAGAAAAUACAUGAUAUCAUUUCAAUUUUUUCCAUUUUUUUUUCUCGCUUUUUUUCACUUUUUUGUUUUCUUUUUACCUUUUUCUUUUUU